AUGGAAGAAUCCAGCCCCAUUCCCCCUUCCUUGUCUGGACAGCCAGAUUUGUUUGCGUUGGAUCUUAAAGUUGAAUCAUUUAGCACUAACCAUCCAUCGGGCUUGAAAUCUUACUUCAAGGGCAGAGUGUUGAAAUGGGUUGUCGACCGCAAGUCGUUGACUGUGGAUGCUAUGAGGUUCCAAGCUGCAUAUGCUGGGGUGAUUGCAUCAAUGACAGAUAAAUCAGAGUGGCCCGAAGUUGAUCUAGGAUUUAAGGUACACCCUCCUGUACAAACGAAGAAUGUGCCUGGUAGGCCUAGGAAGGUGAGGAUUAGAGGUUGGAUGGAACCUAUGAGAAGAACAGUUAAAUGCAAGAGAUACGAUGAAGAGGAAGAAGAGCCAGAUGAUGGGGAGCAAGAAAAGCCAGAUGAUGUAGAGAAACAAGAAAAUCCCGAUGAUGGAGAGCAACAAGGACUAGAUGAUGGAGAGCAAAAAGCAAGUGAGGAGGUGGAUCCAGCCCCUAAAGAGGUGCAACCAGCCACGAAAAGGAAGAAGGGUGCAGCUAAAUCUCAAACUAAAGGAGCACCACCUGCAAAGAUAGGAGGUAAUAAGAUGGCUACAGCAAAAUCCCCAACUCAAGGAGCUUCUCAAGCAAAAGGCAAGAAGAACAUUGCAUCAAACUCAACUAAAACUCCAGCUGAAGGCAAGAAAAAGGCAGCAGCUAAAUCCCCAACAAAGGGUGGGAAGAGAAAGCCAAAGGGUACUACACCUACAAAGGAAAGUGGGUCUGCAACCAUUACAAAUUGGGGGAAUUUAGGAUGUGAACUGAUGCUAUUUGGCCAAGUGACUUCAGGUUUUGCAUCUGCUAAUCAUAUACUUCUAUACAUCAUCAUUUCUAUAGCUAAUCCUAAUUGGAACAACAAGCAGUGCAUUUCAGUACAAGCAGAUGCUGUCAAAUUUUCUUCAGUAGCUACAUGCUUCAGGUUCUGCAUCUGCCGGAGAUUGCUACAGAGAUGUUGGGCGAGGGCAGCGCUCGGGACCAGCAGCUAUGAGGAACUGGAGGAGGUGGCGGCUGGGAGUAGCACCGCCGGCGGCGGCGCGGGGAGCAGAUUUGAGAGACGAGAGAAAAAGGGAAUCGGGAGCGGCAGCUGCUCAUGGUGUAACCGUGGAGCGGAGGAGCUAUCAGAUAUGGCUCGAUCCACUCCCUAA
rnacentral:rRNA from 1 species